AUUGAACGCUGGCGGCAUGCCUUACACAUGCAAGUCGAACGGCAGCGGGGGAGAAGCUUGCUUUUCCUGCCGGCGAGUGGCGAACGGGUGAGUAAUACAUCGGAACGUGCCCUGCAGUGGGGGAUAACUAGUCGAAAGAUUAGCUAAUACCGCAUACGACCUGAGGGUGAAAGUGGGGGACCGCAAGGCCUCAUGCUAUAGGAGCGGCCGAUGUCUGAUUAGCUAGUUGGUGGGGUAAAGGCCAACCAAGGCGACGAUCAGUAGCUGGUCUGAGCGGACGAGCAGCCACAGUGGGAGUGAGAGACGGCCCAGACUCCGACGGGAGGCAGCGGUGGGGAAUUUUGGACAAUGGGCGAAAGCCUGAGCCAGCAAUGGCGCGUGUGUGAGGAAGGCCUUCGGGUUGUAAAGCACUUUUGUCCGGAAAGAAAUGGCUCUGGUUAAUACCUGGGGUCGAUGACGGUACCGGAAGAAUAAGGACCGGCUAACUACGUGCCAGCAGCCGCGGUAA
rnacentral:rRNA from 1 species